UACAACACUAAAAAUUAGCUAAAUUCCCAUCCACCACCUACUCCCACCCUGUACUUACUCUCUUUCCAGCUUUAAACCAUGAUGGAAAGUAAAUAUUGUAGUCAUGUUUCCACUCUUCUCCUACGCCAAUAAUUCACAAGUCACCAACCUCAACAUAUACUCAUUCAGAGUUCAAGUUUAGCUCAACAUAUACUCAUUCAGAGUUCAAGUUUAGCCAAGAACAACAGGAAGCAUAUGACAACAGCCGCACGCCUCAAUUUAUAAUUCCAAAGGUUGAGCAGUUGAUGGAAUGGAAUGAUGUUGAGCGGGUGUUCCUUUGACAUUUCAAGAAAUGUAACCUUGAGUAUACAUUUUCAUAUGUAUAUCUCACACGUUUUCCGCUGCAAAACACUUUGAUUAGGAUAACUCUAUGUUAUGAAGUUGUUACACGUGUUAUUGGGUAACCCACCUUAAUCAGUUCUCUUUUAUGUGUAUGUUUUAUAAGUAUCCAAAUGAUCAUAUAUGAUCCUAGCUUUUUAUCUAUAAGUGAUAUUUUCAUAUACUUUAAUGUUAAGUAAUUGUCCA